UUAAGCGACUAAGCGUACACGGUGGAUGCCCUGGCAGUCAGAGGCGAUGAAGGACGUGCUAAUCUGCGAAAAGCGCCGGCGAGGUGAUAUGAACCUUUGACCCGGCGAUGUCCGAAUGGGGAAACCCAGUGCAAUCCGUUGCACUAUCGUUAACUGAAUACAUAGGUUAACGAGGCGAACCGGGGGAACUGAAACAUCUAAGUACCCGAGGAAAAGAAAUCAACCGAGAUUCCCCCAGUAGCGGCGAGCGAACGGGGAGCAGCCCGGAGUCUGAAUCAGCUUGUGUGUUAGUGGAACGGUCUGGAAAGUCCGACGGUACAGGGUGAUAGUCCCGUACACGAAAGCACACUUGCUGUGAACUCGAAGAGUAGGGCGGGACACGUGGUAUCCUGUCUGAAUAUGGGGGACCAUCCUCCAAGGCUAAAUACUCCUGACUGACCGAUAGUGAACCAGUACCGUGAGGGAAAGGCGAAAAGAACCCCGGCGAGGGGAGUGAAAAAGAACCUGAAACCGUGUACGUACAAGCAGUGGGAGCCUCUUUAUGGGGUGACUGCGUACCUUUUGUAUAAUGGGUCAGCGACUUAUAUUCUGUAGCAAGGUUAACCGUAUAGGGGAGCCGAAGGGAAACCGAGUCUUAACUGGGCGUUAAGUUGCAGGGUAUAGACCCGAAACCCGGUGAUCUAGCCAUGGGCAGGUUGAAGGUUGGGUAACACUAACUGGAGGACCGAACCGACUAAUGUUGAAAAAUUAGCGGAUGACCUGUGGCUGGGGGUGAAAGGCCAAUCAAACCGGGAGAUAGCUGGUUCUCCCCGAAAGCUAUUUAGGUAGCGCCUCGUGAAUUCAUCUUCGGGGGUAGAGCACUGUUUCGGCUAGGGGGCCAUCCCGGCUUACCAACCCGAUGCAAACUACGAAUACCGAAGAAUGUUAUCACGGGAGACACACGGCGGGUGCUAACGUCCGUCGUGAAGAGGGAAACAACCCAGACCGCCAGCUAAGGUCCCAAAGUCAUGGUUAAGUGGGAAACGAUGUGGGAAGGCACAGACAGCCAGGAUGUUGGCUUAGAAGCAGCCAUCAUUUAAAGAAAGCGUAAUAGCUCACUGGUCGAGUCGGCCUGCGCGGAAGAUGUAACGGGGCUAAACCAUGCACCGAAGCUGCGGCAGCGACGCUUAUGCGUUGUUGGGUAGGGGAGCGUUCUGUAAGCCGUUGAAGGUGUGCUGUGAGGCAUGCUGGAGGUAUCAGAAGUGCGAAUGCUGACAUAAGUAACGAUAAAGCGGGUGAAAAGCCCGCUCGCCGGAAGACCAAGGGUUCCUGUCCAACGUUAAUCGGGGCAGGGUGAGUCGACCCCUAAGGCGAGGCCGAAAGGCGUAGUCGAUGGGAAACAGGUUAAUAUUCCUGUACUUGGUGUUACUGCGAAGGGGGACGGAGAAGGCUAUGUCAGCCGGGCGACGGUUGUCCCGGUUUAAGCAUGUAGGCGGAGGUUCCAGGUAAAUCCGGUACCUUAUUAACGCUGAGGUGUGAUGACGAGGCACUACGGUGCUGAAGUGAUAAAUGCCCUGCUUCCAGGAAAAGCCUCUAAGCAUCAGGUAACACGAAAUCGUACCCCAAACCGACACAGGUGGUCAGGUAGAGAAUACCAAGGCGCUUGAGAGAACUCGGGUGAAGGAACUAGGCAAAAUGGUGCCGUAACUUCGGGAGAAGGCACGCUGAUGUGUAGGUGAAGCCCCUGCGGGUGGAGCUGAAAUCAGUCGAAGAUACCAGCUGGCUGCAACUGUUUAUUAAAAACACAGCACUGUGCAAACACGAAAGUGGACGUAUACGGUGUGACGCCUGCCCGGUGCCGGAAGGUUAAUUGAUGGGGUUAGCGGCAACGCGAAGCUCUUGAUCGAAGCCCCGGUAAACGGCGGCCGUAACUAUAACGGUCCUAAGGUAGCGAAAUUCCUUGUCGGGUAAGUUCCGACCUGCACGAAUGGCGUAAUGAUGGCCAGGCUGUCUCCACCCGAGACUCAGUGAAAUUGAACUCGCUGUGAAGAUGCAGUGUACCCGCGGCAAGACGGAAAGACCCCGUGAACCUUUACUAUAGCUUGACACUGAACACUGGUCCUUGAUGUGUAGGAUAGGUGGGAGGCUUUGAAGCGUGGACGCCAGUCUGCGUGGAGCCAACCUUGAAAUACCACCCUUUAAUGGCUGGUGUUCUAACGUAGACCCGUAAUCCGGGUUGCGGACAGUGUCUGGUGGGUAGUUUGACUGGGGCGGUCUCCUCCCAAAGAGUAACGGAGGAGCACGAAGGUUGGCUAAUCCUGGUCGGACAUCAGGAGGUUAGUGCAAUGGCAUAAGCCAGCUUGACUGCGAGCGUGACGGCGCGAGCAGGUGCGAAAGCAGGUCAUAGUGAUCCGGUGGUUCUGAAUGGAAGGGCCAUCGCUCAACGGAUAAAAGGUACUCCGGGGAUAACAGGCUGAUACCGCCCAAGAGUUCAUAUCGACGGCGGUGUUUGGCACCUCGAUGUCGGCUCAUCACAUCCUGGGGCUGAAGUAGGUCCCAAGGGUAUGGCUGUUCGCCAUUUAAAGUGGUACGCGAGCUGGGUUUAGAACGUCGUGAGACAGUUCGGUCCCUAUCUGCCGUGGGCGCUGGAGAAUUGAGGGGGGCUGCUCCUAGUACGAGAGGACCGGAGUGGACGCAUCACUGGUGUUCGGGUUGUCAUGCCAAUGGCACUGCCCGGUAGCUAAAUGCGGAAGAGAUAAGUGCUGAAAGCAUCUAAGCACGAAACUUGCCCCGAGAUGAGUUCUCCCUGAGACUUUAAGUCUCCUGAAGGAACGUUAAAGACUAUGACGUUGAUAGGUCGGGUGUGUAAGCGCAGCGAUGCGUUGAGCUAACCGAUACUAAUGAACCGUGAGGCUUAACCUU
rnacentral:rRNA from 1 species